UAGUCCACGCCGUAAACGAUGAUAACUAGCUGUCCGAACCCACAGGGUUUGGGUGGCGCAGCUAACGCAUUAAGUUAUCCGCCUGGGGAGUACGGUCGCAAGAUUAAAACUCAAAGGAAUUGACGGGGGCCUGCACAAGCGGUGGAGCAUGUGGUUUAAUUCGAGGCAACGCGAAGAACCUUACCUGGGUUUGACAUAUAUUGGAUCGCUACAGAGAUGUAGUUUCUUUUAGUCGAUAUACAGGUGGUGCAUGGCUGUCGUCAGCUCGUGUCGUGAGAUGUUGGGUUAAGUCCCGCAACGAGCGCAACCCUCGUCCUGUGUCGCCAGCAUUUAGUUGGGGACUCACAGGAGACUGCCGUGGUUAACACGGAGGAAGGUGGGGAUGAGGUCAAGUCAUCAUGCCCCUUACACCCAGGGCUGCAAACAUGCUACAAUGGCCAGUACAACGGGCUGCUAUACCGCAAGGUAAUGCGAAUCCCUUAAAACUGGUCUCAGUUCGGA
rnacentral:rRNA from 1 species